GGUGAAGCUGAUCAGCCUCCCGCGUGAAGGACGACGGCCCUAUGGGUUGUAAACUUCUUUUGUAUAGGGAUAAACCUAGAUACGUGUAUCUAGCUGAAGGUACUAUACGAAUAAGCACCGGCUAACUCCGUGCCAGCAGCCGCGGUAAUACGGAGGGUGCAAGCGUUAUCCGGAUUUAUUGGGUUUAAAGGGUCCGUAGGCGGAUUUGUAAGUCAGUGGUGAAAUCUCACAGCUUAACUGUGAAACUGCCAUUGAUACUGCAAGUCUUGAGUGUUGUUGAAGUAGCUGGAAUAAGUAGUGUAGCGGUGAAAUGCAUAGAUAUUACUUAGAACACCAAUUGCGAAGGCAGGUUACUAAGCAACAACUGACGCUGAUGGACGAAAGCGUGGGGAGCGAACAGGAUUAGAUACCCUGGUAGUCCACGCCGUAAACGAUGCUAACUCGUUUUUGGAGCGCAAGCUUCAGAGACUAAGCGAAAGUGAUAAGUUAGCCACCUGGGGAGUACGAACGCAAGUUUGAAACUCAAAGGAAUUGACGGGGGCCCGCACAAGCGGUGGAUUAUGUGGUUUAAUUCGAUGAUACGCGAGGAACCUUACCAAGGCUUAAAUGGGAAAUGACAGGUUUAGAAAUAGACUUUUCUUCGGACAUUUUUCAAGGUGCUGCAUGGUUGUCGUCAGCUCGUGCCGUGAGGUGUUAGGUUAAGUCCUGCAACGAGCGCAACCCCUGUCACUAGUUGCCAUCAUUAAGUUGGGGACUCUAGUGAGACUGCCUACGCAAGUAGAGAGGAAGGUGGGGAUGACGUCAAAUCAUCACGGCCCUUACGCCUUGGGCCACACACGUAAUACAAUGGCCGGUACAGAGGGCAGCUACACUGCGAAGUGAUGCUAAUCUCGAAAGCCGGUCUCAGUUCGGAUUGGAGUCUGCAACUCGACUCUAUGAAGCUGGAAUCGCUAGUAAUCGCGCAUCAACCAUGGCGCGGUGAAUACGUUCCCGGGCCUUGUACACACCGCCCGUCAAGCCAUGGAAGUCUGGGGUACCUGAAGUCGGUGACCGUAACAGGAGCUGCCUAGGGUAAAACAGGUAACUAGGGCUAAGUCGUAACAAGUAAAACCGUAA
rnacentral:rRNA from 1 species